UUCGGAUGAAAACCCUAACACACUCACCGCAUCUUCUUCUCUUUCGACUGAAACCCUAACACACUAAAUCGAAGUAGAGUUAUUACUCUCGAUCUACUUUUCUUCAUAUAUCUUUACAAUUUCAUGAAAUCAUUAUUGUUUUCUCUGAAUAAUUUCAUGAAGUUGUUUGGAGAUGAAAAGCCAUGAAAAUCUCUUUAGAAAAAGUGGAAUCCCCAACUUCAAAACCAAAUCUCGAGUUUUCAGUAUAAACAGCAAAUCAACAAAACCCAUCAAAACCUAGGAUUUAUGUUUUCCAGCUCCUACACAUUCAGAUAAGUGAAUCUAAUAACUUAGAUUUAUGUUUCUGUUACUUUUUUAAAUCGAUUAUGAGUUGUUUUUUGAGAUAAUAAUUAUAAUUUUUUUUGUUUAAUUUCAUCAGGUCUUUUGAGAAGAAUGACAAGAGGAGAAACCCUAAAUUCAUCAGCAAGAACAAAUGAAUUCCUUUCUUUUAGUUUCAAAUUAAAAAUGGGUUAAACCCUAGCCUUUCACAUCUGUUACUGCUUCGAUUUUUUGUGGGAUCUCACAGAGAAAAACCCUGAUAUUUGUAAAUCCUUUGUUUCUUAAUAACUCUGGGGUUUAUUUACUCGUCUCCGGUUUUUUUUUUCUUCUUUUUUUGUUGUUUGAUUCUGUGUUUGUGUUUUUUUUUUUUUUGAGAUUUUUCUUUGAGAUUGAAAUUUUAUGCUCAUGAAAGAUUUGUGGUUUGGUUAUGUGAUUGAACUAAUUAUGAAAUUCGGCUGUGAUGAUCAUUACACAGCUUUUAUACCAGUUCUGCUUCAGAAAUUUCUUGGUAGAGAGAGCUGAUAGUUUUGUGUUUAUUUUUUUAUAGAUGUGUGUAUGCGACAUUUAUAAAGAUUAAUGAUCAGUGUGUUAAUUGGGAUGCCUAUGAUGAUGUUAUCCAAUUAGUGGUGUGGUGGAACUGAGACCCUGUUUACAGGGAGAACCCCUUGGAGAAACCAUAUUUCCACGACAAUAAUGGAUCUUACUGAGGCACUAUGGCAUUUUUCACCCUGAUUUGGCCUGGCCUGUAGUACUUUUUUUUUUUGCUGAGUUUAUACUACAUCUUGGUAAUUGUUUAAUUUGCUCUUGUAGCUUGUUUAGAGUUUCAUUUUUCAACUUUUCUUGGUGUUCUGCUAAAAGGUUUCCGAUUUAUGUACCUGAUUUUGAGCUUAAUGACUUCCUCAAUGACACCUUUCUUGUGAGCUGGAUGGUUGAAGUUUUUCGUAAUAUUUUGCCAUUUGGUUACAGAGCUUGUUACCAUCUCCUUGCUUUCUGUUAUUCUUUUUCUUUAUGCGUAAUUGCUUAGUUGUGGUCUUCUAAUUUACGCAGGCUAAGUUAUCAUUUCUGGUAUACCUUAUCGCUAAAAACUAAUCAACCAAGUCUGCUGUAUUGUUGGAUUGUCGGCUUUUAAAUUUACAAACAUUUGAUUUCCUGUUGCAUUGAUUUUCCUUUGCAUGUUGUUUUACCUUAGCUAUAUUAGCUGUUAUCUAAUGAGAAUUGUGGUUGAUAUUUUCCCUAGAGUCUAUCCAAUGCGUGCAACUUGUCCAUGGUGUUCUACCCAUGUGGAAGCAUACUGACUUUUCCCUGCUCACUUUGGAAGGCGUUAAACAAUGGCAUAUGUGCCAAAAAUGAGUUUCACCUACUGGGACAUAUAUAUGUAAAUACGCUCUUUAACCUUGUUCAGCGAGAUAAAGACAUUUAAUUUUGACAUUGUACAGAUGAAUCCUUGAAGCUAACUCAUGAUGGAUCUGGGUUUCUAUCUAUAAAAAUGGUUGUCAGUUCUGAAUCACUUUCAAGGCUAUGCACCAUCUUGAUGGGUGGGUUCUUUCAUCUUUUCUGUUUUUAAUGUUUACCAAUGCUAUUAUUUAGCCGAAGUUUAAUGUUUACGAAUUCUAUUAUUUAGCCGAAGAAAUUGACUCUCGCUUUUUCACCCUGGACAAUUAUUCAAAUAAGUAUAUAGAUGCCUGGAGUUGGAGGAGUUCAUAUGGAAAAUGCGGGUCCUGGAGUUGGAGAAGCAGCUUAUAUGCAAAGUGCAAGUCCUGGAGUUGUAGGAGCUUAUAUGCAAAAUGCAAGUCCUGGAAUUGUUGGAGUUUCUAUGCAGAAUGCAAGUCAUGGAGCUGGAGGGGCUUAUAUGCAAAAUUGAAGUUUCAGUAAACCAGGAACUGUCGUAGAUAUUACUAAGAUACAUUUCCAUUUAACAUGUGUAAGUCAUGGCUUUGAAAAUGCAAGUCCUGGAAUUGUUGGAGUUUCUAUGCAGAAUGCAAGUCCUGGAGCUGGAGGGGCUUGUAUGCAAAAUUGAAGUUUCAGUAAACCAGGAACUGUGUUAGACAUUACUAAGUUAAUCUCGGAAAGCAUCAGCGCAAGGAUGAGGGUACCACAGGAAAUGAUGACUCGACCCCGUUCAGACUGUGGAAAACACAGUUCAGUAGAUAUUGCUGCAGGAAAAGUCUGCAUCUGCAGUAAUAUGUCAGCUGAAAACUCACUACGCAAUGUGGGCAUCAAAUCUACCCUUAACCAAGGAUAUGCUAGAUAUUGUAGUUUACUCACGGUCAUGUGGAUGAUAAUAACCUUAACAGGCUUUUACCAGAGUUCUUAGAGUUAGAAAAGAUAAGAAGAGCUGCAUAAGGUAAUGUUGAUUUACAGCUUGCAUUAAUUGGCAGAUGAAGUCCUCUUUUCUGUCGCUCUAUACUGGAUGGUAAUAAAGCAGUUCAAUUUAUUUAUUU